AGAGUUUGAUCCUGGCUCAGGAUGAACGCUAGCGGCAGGCCUAAUACAUGCAAGUCGGACGGGAUUCAGGGAGUAGCUUGCUACAAACUGAUGAGAGUGGCGCACGGGUGCGUAACGCGUGAGCAACCUACCCAUAUCAGGGGGAUAGCCUCUCGAAAGAGAGAUUAACACCGCAUAACAUCAUUAACCGGCAUCGGAUUAUGAUCAAAUAUUUAUAGGAUAUGGAUGGGCUCGCGUGACAUUAGCUAGUUGGAGAGGUAACGGCUCACCAAGGCUACGAUGUCUAGGGGCUCUGAGAGGAGAAUCCCCCACACUGGUACUGAGACACGGACCAGACUCCUACGGGAGGCAGCAGUAAGGAAUAUUGGUCAAUGGAGGCAACUCUGAACCAGCCAUGCCGCGUGCAGGAUGACUGCCCUAUGGGUUGUAAACUGCUUUUGUCAGGGAAUAAACCUUUCCACGUGUGGAGAGCUGAAUGUACCUGAAGAAUAAGGAUCGGCUAACUCCGUGCCAGCAGCCGCGGUAAUACGGAGGAUCCAAGCGUUAUCCGGAUUUAUUGGGUUUAAAGGGUGCGUAGGCGGUCCUAUAAGUCAGUGGUGAAAGACGGCAGCUUAACUGUCGCAGUGCCUUUGAUACUGUGGGACUUGAAUCUAUUUGAAGUGGGCGGAAUAAGACAAGUAGCGGUGAAAUGCAUAGAUAUGUCUUAGAACUCCGAUUGCGAAGGCAGCUCACUAAGUUAGUAUGA
rnacentral:rRNA from 1 species